rnacentral:lncRNA from 1 species
GCGCAUGGAUAUUCAGGCUGUGGUACAGCUUUGAUCACAAUUACCUGAAGCCCAUCCUCACACACAGUGGUCCCCCACUAACCACCACGCUCCCCGCCUGGUGUGGCUUACUAGCUCGAUGUCUGACCAGUCCCCAGGUGUACGAUAACCAAGAGCCACUGAGAGAGGAAGACUCUGAUUUCAUCCUGACCGAAGGCGACCUGACAUUGACCUACGGGGACAGCACAGUGACUGCAAAUGGCUCCUCAAGUUCGCACACCGCCUCCACGAGUCUGGAGGGCAGCCGGAGAACGAAGAGCAGCUCGGAGGAAGUGCUGGAGCGAGACCUGGGAAUGGGAGACCAGAAGGUUUCGAGCCGGGGCACCCGCCUAGUGUUUCCCCUGGAAGAUAAUGCUUGACUUUCCCCCCAAGCCCUGGCGCGAUGGGACUGAAGAUUUGAAAAUACAUCCACGAACAUUUCAACAUGGAACGAAGAAUUAUAGUUCCUUCUCUGGCUAUAUCC